rnacentral:rRNA from 1 species
CCUUAGGAUCAUACUGCGUUGAACGCACCGCAUCCUGUUAGAUCUACGUACGUAAGGAACGUUAGCCCGGACUAGUACAACGGUUGGAGAUGACGUCCAAACACUCAGUGCGGUAGGCC